AGCGGCGGCGUCAGCAACUUCAGCAGCAGCACACGACUUCCUAGACAUCAUUGUACUCGUGGUUUUAGCCCAUGCUCUGCGGAGUUUAUGAGCCAGCAAUAAAGCAGCCGAGAAAGGGCACUCAACUACUACCCUGCCUGGUGCCCCUUUGUGCCCGCUCUGCCAGGUUUCACGAAGAAAUCCACCACAGGCAAUGGAUGAAUUUAUCUUCUCUGCAUCUAAACUGCCAGGGCUUAUUUACCCUCCUCCGUAUAAUUAAGACAAUAUUCACCCAAAUUGUUUUCUGCUGAGCCUGCUUCUCCGUGGAAUCCCACGUGAGAAGGCUGCUCUGGCGGCAUGAGGUACCCAGGCCCACAGGCAAUUCAGAAAGCUCAGGAUCCUCACUGUGGACCCACUUUCCGCCUUAGUGAAUGUAAAUUUUUCUGUGUUCAACAAUCAACGACCAAGAGGCUUGUGAGCAGACCGUGCGUGCCCUGGCUCCUCCAGGCUGCUGAGCACGCCCCAUCACCUGAUGGAUGCUGGCUACGCUGGUUUCUCAACAGGCAAGAUCAACCUGACAGAUGCUCCCUGGACAGAGAUUUUCCUGCCAAAUGAUGGAAGCUCUGGCCUUUGUGCCUGUUGUGGAAUUGGAAAAAGAUGGAGUAUCUCAUAUUAAGGCAGUAAAAUGGAGCCUGGUGGACAUGAUGGGAGAGGAACAAAUUCCUCCUUCAGGAUGAACUCUUGAGCUUAUUUAAUGCCUGAAAUGCGACUUCGAGUCUUCUCAAGGAAGAUAAGAUUACUGGGACAGAGAUCCCAUUCCUGUCAGGAAGAUAAGAUUAUCAGGACAGAGACCCCAUGCCUGUCAGCCAUCUCCCACAUUCCUAAGUUUAAUGGCUUGUUUCACCUGACCCUCACGCUGAUGAUUACCUUGCGCCUGGAAUUUGUUACAAGACGUUCCUUCCCUCUUUUUUUCUUUGUCUUUAUUAGCCACAACUGUAAAACCUACAAAACCUUCCUUCCCCCUUCAAUGACUGAAUGCAAUCCAAGUGCUGCUUGAAUCUGUGCUUCCCGGGCUACAGUCCUAACAAACGUCAAAUAAACUCCUUUUUGUUUCAGGUUUACCAGAGUCUGCCUCAUAGUUGAUCGACACUGUGGUUGCAUAAAAGUUUUUAAUUUUGAUGAAGUCCAAUUUAUCAAUUUUUUCUUUUGUUGCCUGUAUCUUUGCUGUCAUAUCCAAGAAAUCACUGGCAAAUUGAAUAUCGUGAAGAUUUUCCCCUAUGUUUUCCUCUAAGAGUUUUAUAGUUUUAGCUCUUACAUUUAGGUGUUUGAGCCAUUGUGAACUAAUUUUUGUUUAUGGUCUGAGGUAAGUAUCCAACUUCAUUCUUUUGCAUGCAGGUAUCCAGUUUUCCCAAC
rnacentral:lncRNA from 1 species